CGCCUGUUUAUCAAAAACAUUGUAAAUAAUAUUUAUAUCACCUGCUCAAUGAAUAGUUUAAAUAGCCGCGUUAGUGCUAAGGUAGCAUAGUAAUUAGUUUUUUAAUUGAGAAAUAGAAUGAAUGGUAUCACUAAGAUAUCUUUUUUAGGACAUAUUUUGAAAUUUUAGUUUAAGUGAAAAUACUUAAGAACUUUUUUUAGACGAGAAGACCCUAUGAAGCUGGUAGAUAUUAAAUAUAAUUAUUUAUCUUAGUAAAAAUCUAUUUUUUGGGGUAAAAAUUAAAAUUAUUAUUUAAAUAUAUAUAUAUAAAAUGAGCCUCUUGGAAUAAUAAAGAAGCUCCUCUAGGGAUAACAGCAUUAUACCUAUAAGAGUUCUUAUCAGAAUAGGUGUUUGUGACCUCGAUGUUGAAU
rnacentral:rRNA from 1 species